rnacentral:rRNA from 1 species
CCGGGGUGGAGUAAUGUCUGGGAAACUGCCUGAUGGAGGGGGAUAACUACUGGAAACGGUAGCUAAUACCGCAUAAUGUCGCAAGACCAAAGAGGGGGACCUUCGGGCCUCUUGCCAUCGGAUGUGCCCAGAUGGGAUUAGCUAGUAGGUGGGGUAACGGCUCACCUAGGCGACGAUCCCUAGCUGGUCUGAGAGGAUGACCAGCCACACUGGAACUGAGACACGGUCCAG